rnacentral:ncRNA from 1 species
UUAAAAACUGAGAAAAAGAGGAGUAUGCAAACUCAACUUACAGAGAGGAAAGUUCACCGGCUGAAAGACUUUCUAAGAAAUGAAUUGCAGAAGGUAGCUUUGGAGUUUCUAAGCUGAAAAUAACAGUAAGCUUAGACGGUGAGAAUCGUUAAAUUUAUUAAGUGUUAUGUAGAGUUUGAUUAAAAACUUUAUAUAAAAUUAAGGUGGUAACGCGAGCUUUUCGUCCUUAAA